rnacentral:rRNA from 1 species
AGUGAACGCUGGCGGCGUGCCUAACACAUGCAAGUCGAACGAGAACGGAUUUAAGCUUGCUUAAAUUGUCAGCUAAGUGGCGCACGGGUGAGUAAUGUAUAGUUAACCUGCCUUUAAGAAAGGGAUAACAAUUAGAAAUGAUUGCUAAUACCUUAUAUGCCUUUUAAUCAUAAGAUUGUAAAGGGAAAUGCUUUUGUGCUUAAAGAUGGGACUGUAUAGUAUCAGAUAGUUGGUGGGGUAAUGGCCUACCAAGUCAAUGACGCUUAACUGGUUUGAGAGGAUGAUCAGUCACACUGGAACUGAGACACGGUCCAGACUCCUACGGGAGGCAGCAGUGGGGAAUAUUGCACAAUGGAGGGAACUCUGAUGCAGCAACGCCGCGUGGAGGAUGACACAUUUCGGUGCGUAAACUCCUUUUAUAUAGGAAGAUAAUGACGGUACUAUAUGAAUAAGCACCGGCUAACUCCGUGCCAGCAGCCGCGGUAAUACGGAGGGUGCAAGCGUUACUCGGAAUCACUGGGCGUAAAGAGCAUGUAGGCGGAUUAAUAAGUUUGAAGUGAAAUCCUAUAGCUUAACUAUAGAACUGCUUUGAAAACUGUUAAUCUAGAAUAUGGGAGAGGUAGAUGGAAUUUCUGGUGUAGGGGUAAAAUCCGUAGAGAUCAGAAGGAAUACCGAUUGCGAAGGCGAUCUACUGGAACAUUAUUGACGCUCAGAUGCGAAAGCGUGGGGAGCAAACAGG